UGCACCUUCUUAUUCUUCAUGUGAGAAAUAUUUUUAUAUAAUUUUUCUCAUACCCAGAAGCCUUUUCCACAUCCUCAUCUGAUUCUUUUUGAAUUAAAAAUUGAUUGGUUUAAAUUUGAGUUCAAAUGAGUUUGAAUUUGAAUGAAAACUUAGAGUUCAAAUUGAGUUGGACCCUCCUCUUCAUGCCACCAUCUUUCUCCAUGCAUAGUAUUUUUGCGUGAGAUUUUUUGCACCAUUCUGAUGGUCGACCCCUCUCUAAUUUCAUAAGAUGAGGAUAAAAUUUGGUUCAAAAUUUAAUUCAAAUUUGAUUUGAAUUGAUGAUAAGGAUCAACUAAUAUUUGAAUUUGAACCGAAACUACCUCUUUUUUAUCCUUAUCUUCCAUGGGACGCCAACCCUAAAAGGAGAUCAAUUUUGUGCGAGAUGAAGAGUGAUUUUUGACAUGAGAAACUUGAGAGUGGGGACAUGAAAGGUUGAGAGUAGGUUGGGCUUCCGUGCGUGAGAAACAGAGGAAGUGUUCUUCCUUUCGGACGUGAGCUGUGGGUUCUAGGGUUUCAACUCUAGGUUUUGUGAGAAGAAAAUACAAGAGUCUUGUCUAAUCUUCCACAUCACUACCUCCUCAUAAAGCUUCAUCUUUUGAUCCAGAGGAGUCCGGGAGAUCCGAAGAAAGGAGCUUGAAUCAACCAUCCAGAGCCUUCGAUACGAGCUAACACUAGCGCGAAGGAAGAUCCGAUUAGGGCUUCGAGUGGAUGAUCUAUAGAGGCCGGAUGACCUGUGUGGCUGCUCGACAUCAGAGAGAGCUUCAUACCACGUCUAUCAGUAGUGG
rnacentral:lncRNA from 1 species